rnacentral:rRNA from 1 species
CCCUUAGAUGUUCUGGGCCGCACGCGCGCUACACUGAUGCAUUCAACGAGUCUAAAACCUGCUCUGAUAGGGGUGGGUAAUCUUUUGAAUGUGCAUCGUGAUUGGGAUAGAUGAUUGCAAUUUUUCAUCUUCAACGAGGAAUGCCUAGUAAACGCAAGUCAUCAGCUUGCAUUGAUUACGUCCCUGCCCUUUGUACACACCGCCCAUCGCUCCUACCGAUUGAAUGAUCCGAUGAAUAUCAUGGAUUGAGGAUGUAAGCAGGUUCGCCUGUCUUCAUCUUCGAGAAGUGAAGUAAAUCUUAUCAUUUAGAGGAAGGAGAAGUCGUAACA